rnacentral:rRNA from 1 species
UACGUAGGUGGCGAGCGUUGUCCGGAUUUACUGGGCGUAAAGAGCGCGCAGGCGGUCGUUCAAGUCGCGUGUGAAAGCCCCCGGCUCAACUGGGGAGGGUCACGCGAUACUGAUCGACUCGAAGGCAGGAGAGGGUAGUGGAAUUCAUGGUGUAGCAGUGAAAUGCGUAGAGAUCAUGAGGAAGACCAGUGGCGAAGGCGGGUCUCUGGACAGUUCCUGACACUGAGGCACGAAGGCCAGGGGAGCAAACGGG